rnacentral:rRNA from 1 species
UACGGAGGGGGCUAGCGUUGUUCGGAAUUACUGGGCGUAAAGCGCACGUAGGCGGCUUUGUAAGUUAGAGGUGAAAGCCCAGGGCUUAACCCUGGAAUUGCCUUUAAGACUGCAUCGCUAGAAUUGUGGAGAGGUAAGUGGAAUUCCGAGUGUAGAGGUGAAAUUCGUAGAUAUUCGGAAGAACACCAGUGGCGAAGGCGACUUACUGGACACAUAUGACGCUGAGGUGCGAAAGCAUGGGGAGCAAACAGGAUAGAAACC